GGGGGGAGGGGGGAGACACCCUACCACGUGGGCAGGAUGCAACACACACAGGACAGCAACACGUCCGCAUGGAACGGCUGCCUCUGCCCCAAUGCCGGCAGAGGACACGGCGUCAGGAUGGGUGGGAACGGAGGCCCCUCUCACGGGCCUCACCCCGAAGGGCACCCCCGAGGCUCGAGGUACUGCCCGCCUCGCCGGCCGAAAAACACCCCCCAAGCUUGAGGGGAAGAAGCUGCAUCGUGCUGAGCAUUCCAGACAGAAGCUAAUGGAGCUGCCUGAUCCCAGAGUGAAGACAACAUGCAGCAAAGCUACAGCUGACCUGGGAAGGACACAAAGCGAACCACCUCAGGAGACCUCCCUUCCACACCUGCCUCUGUCAUUGGCUAGAACACGUCCGAUUUCGUCUUACUGAGGAUAACACACAAGGGGAACAAGAAAACGUCUGAGUGGCCGAUUACAAAGCACUCCUACGUCUUCUACCGAAAAAAUAAAGCCCUGGGGCAGCCCUACCAAUGACACAGGUUGAGAAAUGUACACGUGUGCGUGACCACCUUUGAUCUCACGGAGUCACCGCUCCAGGGGGUGCACCAGGUGGCAACAGUGGCCACAGCCCCCUCUUCCUACCGAAGCGAUUGCCCCCUGGGACGGAAGUGGGAUCUGGAUAUUGCUGGGGUACAGGGAGAUGGCACCUCCUCCAGUUUUCUGUUGCUUCCCGUGCUGCCUGACUGCGGAGGAGCCUUUCAGGAAAAGAACUCAAGCCACAUCCACACUUUCUAUGGGUCUGGAACACAGAUGUGGCCAAGAGAGCCAACCUCAGACAUGCCAACAAUGACCAUGCCCUGGGGUAGGUGGUGCACUAAAGAUGGAAGGAACCUGGGUCCUGGGGUAAACCCGUGAGCUACCUCCUCAUCCCAGACAUCCUCUUUACUGGACUACUGAAGGAGAGAGAAAUACAUUUCUUGUUGAGUCACAGUCUUUGGGGGCUCUUAUUGCAGCAUAGCGGGUACCUUAACGUGAGACGGAAGGAAAGAUGGUGUUAGGUUUUCUUUCUUUUUUUUUUUUAAAGAUUUUAUUUAUUUAUUUGAGAGAGAGAAUGAGAGACAGAGAGCACGAGAGGGAAGAGGGCAGAGGGAGAAGCAGACCCCCCGCUGAGCAGGGAGCCUGAUGCGGGACUCGAUCCCGGGACUCCAGGAUCAUGACCUGAGCCGAAGGCAGUCGCUUAACCAACUGAGCCACCCAGGCGCCCGGUGUUAGGUUUUCUAAGAGAAUUCCCGACUCGGUCAGCAAUGGCUAAGGAGCUGGGAAAGGCUGAGAAAACACGGUCUGUCUUUAAUGAUGAGAGCUGAACGGGGCUGGGGCUGGCAGACAGCGAGAUAAGCAAUCAUGCAGUCUUGUCGCAAGAGAGGGAAGGCCCCUUGAGAACUAUAGACUUCUACCUGGCUCUGAGAGCCAAGUUCAUCCAGGACAGCAGCCAGCAAGCAACCUCCUGAAUGUCUUCUUUGUACUCUGCCUUGCAAAGCCAGGUGCGCUGUCAGCUUCAAAAGCCGACUCCAACAAGCUUCGCCUGAAGACUUCGAGGACAAACCCGACUCAGUCAUUUUGUGUUAAUUAUGUUUGCAGAAGAAAAAUAUUAUUUAUAAUCGCCUUCUAUUUCCCAAAGAGGAUGGGUUCUCUAAUUGGAAGAACUUCUGUUUUGCUAAACAUGGUGAUUUGCCGGGCGCAGGUUUGGAAAGUAGAAACUAGAAUAAAAGGCAUUCCUCUCAGUAAUGAAGGGUUGAGGAAUCUGCAUAGGGCUGGGGGUGGUGGUGGUGAAGAGCAGCAAGGCUGGAGGCUGGGGUAGGGGAUGCGAAAAGACCCCUGUGGCAGAAGCAGAGAGAAAGUACUCUGGAGAAGAGGUAUGUCAUGGGGGUCUUCAGUUGCAACAGCCUACGUGAUGUGAAUCAUGUCUCCCCUUCAGCAAAUUCUGUCUUGUUCACUAAGAUAUUGGUCUGAGGAGGCAUAAGGGGUGUGAGUUUGAGUGAGAGGAUGAGGGAAAUGCUGACAUCUGGAUUACAUACAGCAUAGAGAGAAGAAACUAGAACACAGAAAGUGAGAGUCAAUGCCAGUGAUUAACGGUUCUAGAAUUUCAGAUACUUUCUGUUAGUCAUUAAUUCUGUAAUUUGCAAUUAUGUGUCCUGGACUGUCUUAAUCUGAGUUACCAUUCACCCAAUAAUGACCCAGUGCCCAUUACUGGAAUACUUACUCAUCACUAGCACAUAUUAAUCAAUUAUGAAAAUUCAGAAACAAAGAGCUUUCUUCUAGCUGAGGGUAGGGUGAAUUUAAAGAAGGCAACAUGAUAGGAGUUGCAUUUGAGCUGGGCCUUGAAGAAUGGAUAGGAAUUGGUCAUGCAAAGGCUUUUCAGAGGAAGGGAACAGCAUGGACGAUCCGACCAAAGGCAAAGUCACACAUUUUUUUCAAUAUAUAUUUACCAGUGUCCACUGUGUACCAGGCGCUAUGCGAUAUGCGAGGUCCCAGGGAUGUGAAGAUGAAUUUGGCUUCAUAGGCUUCUGUUAAUAUAUCCUGCUAUUUUUCUAUUCAUUUUGCUAUUGGUUUUGCACAUCUAUCAGGUCUUUUUGGCCACAUUUCUGCCUGGCUAGUUUUUCUUUCUUGAAUUCUUGUGUGUGUGAUGCUUCUUUUGCUCCCUAAUGCAUUUUAACCUGCCAUUGAUGACCAUUUCUCUAAUUUAUUGAGGUCAAUUGAAUUUUGAUCUUCUAUAUACUUGGCACAUCCAUCUGCUUGGGGUCAUAUGUAAUAUUUAUGAAGACUAUCACUUUCUUUCCACUGUCCAGACCCACAUCUCAAUACCCUUUUGUGCCAAUAUAUACUGAAGGUUAGAAGUAAGACAAGAAAUAGAGCCCCAGAAUCCCAGGUUACAAGACCUAGUAUACUUGACCCUUGAACAACAGACUUGAACUGUGUGCAUCUACUUAUACAUGGAUUUGUUUCAAUAAAUAUAGUAUAGUACUAAGUGUAUUUUUUCUCUUUUGAUUUUUUUUUUUCAAGUUGGCUUGAACAUGAGGCUUGAACUCACGACCCUGAGAUCAAGACCUGAGCUGAGAUCAAGAGUCAGACUCCUAACCGACUGAGCCACCCAGGCUCCCUUUCCUCUUGAUUUUCUCAAUAACGCCUUCUUUUCUCUAGCUUACUUUAUAGUAGAAUGCUGUAUAAAAUACGUGUAACACAAAAUACGUGUUGUUUAUGUUAUCAGUAAGGCUUCUGGUCAACAGAAGGCUAUUAGUAAAGUUUUUUUUUUUUUUUUUAAGAUUUAAUUUAUUUAUUUGAGACAGAGAGAAUGAGAUACAGAGAGCGUGAGAGGGAGGAGCAUCAGAGGGAGAAGCAGACUCCCCGCCGAGCAGGGAACCCGAUGCGGGACUCGAUCCCGGGACUCCAGGAUCAUGACCUGAGCCGAAGGCAGUCGCUUAACCAACUGAGCCACCCAGGCGCCCCAGUAAAG